CUUACCAUGCAGUCGAACGAUGAAGCCCAGCUUGCUGGGUGGAUUAGUGGCGAACGGGUGAGUAACACGUGAGUAACCUGCCCUUGACUCUGGGAUAAGCCUGGGAAACUGGGUCUAAUACCGGAUAGGAACGUCCACCGCAUGGUGGGUGUUGGAAAGAUUUAUCGGUCAUGGAUGGACUCGCGGCCUAUCAGCUUGUUGGUGAGGUAAUGGCUCACCAAGGCGACGACGGGUAGCCGGCCUGAGAGGGUGACCGGCCACACUGGGACUGAGACACGGCCCAGACUCCUACGGGAGGCAAGCAGUGGGGAAUAUAUGCACCAAUUGGGCGAAAGCCUGAUGCAGCGACGCCGCGUGGAGGGAUGACGGCUUCGGGUGUAAACCUCUUUCAGUAGGGAAGAAGCGAAAGUGACGGUACUGCAGAAGAAGCACCGGCUAACUACGUGCCAGCAGCCGCGGUAAUACGUAGGGUGCGAGCGUAUCCGGAAUUAUUGGGCGUAAAGAGCUCGUAGGCGGUUUGUCGCGUCUGUCGUGAAAGUCCGGGGCUUAACCCCGGAUCUGCGGUGGGUACGGGCAGACUAGAGUGCAGUAGGGGAGACUGGAAUUCCUGGUGUAGCGGUGGAAUGCGCAGAUAUCAGGAGGAACACCGAUGGCGAAGGCAGGUCUCUGGGCUGUAACUGACGCUGAGGAGCGAAAGCAUGGGGAGCGAACAGGAUUAGAUACCCUGGUAGUCCAUGCCGUAAACGUUGGGCACUAGGUGUGGGGACCAUUCCACGGUUUCCGCGCCGCAGCUAACGCAUUAAGUGCCCCGCCUGGGGAGUACGGCCGCAAGGCUAAAACUCAAAGGAAUUGACGGGGGCCCGCACAAGCGGCGGAGCAUGCGGAUUAAUUCGAUGCAACGCGAAGAACCUUACCAAGGCUUGACAUGUUCUCGAUCGCCGUAGAGAUACGGUUUCCCCUUUGGGGCGGGAUCACAGGUGGUGCAUGGUUGUCGUCAGCUCGUGUCGUGAGAUGUUGGGUUAAGUCCCGCAACGAGCGCAACCCUCGUUCCAUGUUGCCAGCACGUAAUGGUGGGGACUCAUGGGAGACUGCCGGGGUCAACUCGGAGGAAGGUGGGGACGACGUCAAAUCAUCAUGCCCCUUAUGUCUUGGGCUUCACGCAUGCUACAAUGGCCGGUACAAUGGGUUGCGAUACUGUGAGGUGGAGCUAAUCCCAAAAAGCCGGUCUCAGUUCGGAUUGGGGUCUGCAACUCGACCCCAUGAAGUCGGAGUCGCUAGUAAUCGCAGAUCAGCAACGCUGCGGUGAAUACGUUCCCGGGCCUUGUACACACCGCCCGUCAAGUCACGAAAGUCGGUAACACCCGAAGCCGGUGGCCCAACCCUUGUGGGGGAGCCGUCGAAGGUGACCACUACUUG
rnacentral:rRNA from 1 species